GGUGUCUUGUGCUCUGUCCACGCCGACUCCGUCUCCCCUUUGGGUAAAACCUGUCCAGCUGGGGCUGGUCCCCGGCAAGUGGCGCCCGAACAGGGACCUGAAGGGAUUGGAGUAUUAAUUUUCCUGAGGGAGAUUAUAGAACAUAUUUAGGUAAAGGCUUGCUAUACCCAUGGAAUGAUUCCUAUAUUCCCCGUCCAUUGAAGUCAUCAUCCGAUUAAUUCAAGCUGCCCUCCAGAGUGUAUAUAAAACCAAAGUGGAAUUGCAUACUGCCUUUUUAAAAAAUAAAAAAGGGGGAGAUGCCGGGAGCCAUAUAGGAAGUGCCUUUGAGUCUCAGCACGGACGAGACCCAUAGUGCCAAGCAAAGCUGGUACUGUCAGGUACAAAUAAGGAGAAGCAAAGCUCU